rfam:Angiostrongylus costaricensis strain Costa Rica genome assembly, scaffold: ACOC_scaffold0000491
GCCCAAGUAGUAUAGUGGUUAGUACUCCACUUCGUGGCCGUGGCGAUGCAGGUUGGAUUCCUGUCUUGGGCG